UAGGUGUCUCCUCCUCCCCCCACAACCGUGUGUUUCAGAGGAGCUGCCCCCACCCCAGGCCUACGGAUUGGCUCGACUGACCUCACUCAUGCUUGGUGCUUCUGUAACCUGGAUGUAGUACCUGGACCCCCACUGUACUCGAGGAGGAUGCCGGCUGAGGGGGAAGUGUAGCCGUGUUCAGAAGACCCCAGGUCUCCAUGACCACGGCGAGGCACCGAAUCAGCUGACUCCCUCUGGAUUUCCCUUGCAAGAUAAUAAAUUUCCCUAUUGUUAAC